UGGCUCAGUGGUUAAAGAGUUUGGCUGCUAACUGAAAGAUUGGUGGUUCGAACCCACC
rnacentral:tRNA from 1 species